rnacentral:lncRNA from 1 species
AAAUAUCAAUUGAUGACUAUAUCGUGAUUAUGAGAUGACAUUUACAGUAUUAUGAGAAUGUCUCACUUUUUAUCUAUAAUUGUAUGAAGCUAUCAUAUGAAUUACUAAACGAUAUGAACUUGAUGUCUAUGUAUGAGAAAAAUGUUUAAAGGAGAAAAUAUGAUUAUUUUUGCACUCUUCUACUCACUGAGCUAUCAACUAAUGUUUUGCUAAAAUUAUUUUUACAGAUAGUAUUGGUUCUUGAUAGCUUGAGGAGCCUGGUGAUUUCAGAGUUAGAGUCACACGACAUGUUGAAGGAUAUGAGUCAAUUUGAUUAAACCACGAAGUAAAAGUUUUGAGCCCUUUGCACUAUGUUUUUAUAAAUUUUUGAUUUUAUUGCAUAUCUUGUAAUAAUUCAUAGUGAGCCUUGGUGAUGGAGUUGACAUCUAGUCAGCAUCUAUCACUGACGCACGUCAAAUUUCGGGUCCACUAGGGUAAUUUGGGACGGGUCAUGUCAGAGUGGUAUCAGAGCAUUGUUUAUAAAGUUUUGAAAGUCUCAUAGUUCAAACAUUAGCAUAUCAUGCAUUAUUCAGUAUGUAUGGUCACAUGUCGUGGUAGUAGAAAUCACAGGUUCUCAAGCUCGAAUUUAUGGAACUGAAAAUGAUUGAAAAGUAUUUUUAUCAGAUCCAAAAAUCACUAGUAUGUAAGUAUGAUAUUUGCAAUGGUCUGAUGGUUGGAAAUGUUAUUAGUUGUUGGGUUGGAAUUAUGGUAUAUGUAACAUAUUAAGAGUUGAAUAGAUCAUGAUAUAUAGGAAAAUUUUUAGUUAUAGCUUGCACAAUAAAUACGGAGAAUUGAUAUAAUGUGUAUAUUUGUGAUAAUUUGUGAAGGAUUUUAAUUAUUUUGGAGAGCUAAAUGACUGUUAGCGCUAUCGAAAAUCGUGAUGAAUUGUGGCCACUUGGUUGAGAUGAGAAUAGAAAGCAUGUUGGUGUGUACUUAUUCUAUAUGAUAAGAAUUUUGUGGAGGACAAAAUGAUAAUAUUAUGUAGAUUGUUGAUUAAUAAAAUACAAUAUUUUAUUAUGUAUAUUACGCAUUGAGAAGAUUAACAUACAUCUGUACUUCAAGAAAAAUCUAGGGUGGGAUUAUGAUUGCCUUGACCAAUUAAACGAUGUGUUACAAAAUGAGAACGAUUAGUGAUAAAUGAGGUUGGAGAAGAAAAAUAAAUAAAUAAAAUAUAGGGAAGGAUUAAGAGGAAAUAUAAUUUUGAUAGGGAUAUAUAUUUGGGGACAUGUGUGGUCGGAAGUUAACGAGAAUAGAAAGGUAAGAGUAGGAAUUAGUGUUAAAUCACUGUGUAUAGGUUAUAUGCAAUAGUAGCUUGGGUUCUGUGUAAGUAUGUGUAUUUAUCGAAAGAAUGAGAAAGGAAAGAAAACAAUAAAGAGAGAUGCAUAGAUAUUCAUUAAGGUUGUUAAUUGGGCCUGCAAUGUUAUCGAUAUUCGAUCAUUAAAUAUGGGUACAAUGAUUUUCAAUUAGUAAGGGUCAACAAGAUAAGUACAAUGAAUCAUGUUGUUCAACUUGGGAGAUGAGACAUGAUUAAAUUUUGUGGCCAUAUGAUACGAUGAUGUUCACUUAAUAAGGUUAUUUUAUUAUGAGAGUCAUUGUCAAUAAUGAUAAACAAAAGAUAUGACAGUUUGAUGUAAACAGAAUAACGUAAUAGUAUAAGUUAAAAUGUGAAUUGAUUUUCCUCUAGCCAUCAUCGGGUUUGUUGUGUUGGUUUAUAAUUUAUCGAGGACGACAUGUUAAAUUGGAGUUAGUAAGGACAUAUUAUCACAUUGUACUAUAAGGAAGAUGGGAUGUUAGUUAUGGUAAACAAGUUAAGUGGUUGAGAUGAUGCACAAUAAAAAAUUAAAAAUAAAAAUAAAAGAAAAGAAAAGGAAAUUGAGAAAGUCUAGGUGUUGUGUUUUUCUUUCUUUAUUCAAGAAAUGGGUAAGCUCAAGUUUCUUAAUUUAGUACGAGUAAGCAUAUUUGGAGUCGUGCAAAACAUUGAAUUCUCUUUACAUACAAAUGUAGGACUUGAAGGAAUUAAAUUGACAAUGAAACUUUGAAGCACGGAAAGAAAUGGAAGACAGCAGUAGUAAGUCGUGUUGUAUAUGGGCCUAACUGAAAAGUGAAAUGAAAAAUUAGAAGAGGAGAAGAAGAUAAGUGGAAUAUGUAUGUGGCUAUUGCAGUGAGUGAAUAUUUAUAGAGGAAAAGAAAUGAGAAAUGUAAAAUGAAAAGAUGAGAAUAUCAUAUAUUGAUUCUUACGAAAGUUAUUCAAACUAUGAUAAGGAAAGGAUGAACCUUGGGCCUAGUUAAAGGUUGUUGGGGAAAUCAUUUAAUAUUUUUGCUUUAUUUUCUAAUAUGUACGAAUUCUAGUGGAGUUAGUUUCAAGGACGAAAUUCUUUGAAGGUGGUGAGAUUGUUACACCCCACCCAUUUUUAGUCAAAGUCAAGGGAAGUAAUUGGUCAAAGACAAAGUCAAUAAGGACUUAAGUUGAACAUAUGAUUCUUUUGGGGCUUAAUUUGUAAUUACAAGAAUUUUAGGGAUUUAGUUUCUAUUUACUGGAAUCAAAGGAGUAAAUGGUAUAUUAUAUGAAGAGUGAGGACUUGAUUUGCAAUUCUACCAUACUUAUCCAUUUAAACUUCAAACAUAUCUAUCAUUCUCUCAUUGCUGGGGAAAACAGACUGGAGAAGCAGAGAACAAAAUAUGAAAAAAAAAAUGAACGAGAAAAAGGAAGGAAGGAGAAGAAGAAGAAAUGGGUGUUGGCUUUUAAAUAUUGAGGUUUUAUUUCUUAGUUCUUAUUUCCAAGAGGUAAUUGAAGUUUAUGUUACUUGAAUAUUUUGGGGUUUAUGGAAAAUUUACGUUAAUUCGAAGUUUAGCAAUAAUUAGUUGAUAUUGAUAUACAUUUGAGGUUAUAAAUAGGAAUAUAGCAAAGAAAUGUUAAUUGAGUGUUGAAGUUGAAGAAAGUUGAAUUUUGAAAUGGGUUUGUAAGAUAGAAAUAUAUUAUUUGAAUUUUUUUGUGAUUAUAUGAUGUUAAACACUUAAAUUAAGGAAUUAGGGUUGAUUUCUCCAUUUUUAAGUAAUAGUUAUAAGCAAUUUUUGGACAAAUCCUACACAGGUGAUGUUUUUGUAAUUCUGCCCAGAAUAGUGCUAAUUCUAUCAAAGGUUUUACUGCCAAAUUUCAAUAAAGAAAUUGGUGCCAGAUUUCAUUAUUAGGGGAUUUUAGUGUUGUUUUUGUCAAAACUCUUAUUUUCAGAUUUGUAAAGGUUUGAAUGAAGUUACAUGCCAAGUGUUGAAUUUUAUAUAUUGGAAUAAAUGAUGUAUAUGGGUUGUAUAUGUAUAAGGUAUUGAUUUUAUGGAAGUGCAAGUGAUUUAAUGGAUUUGAUAAUGCAUGGCGUUUAGUUGAUGAAUCAAUAAAGAGAAUGAAAAUUGGAGAAUUGGAGAUGUAAGAGUGUAUAUAGAAGUUGAGGAGUUAAGUGGUGGAAUUGUAUUAAUUUAAUUGUCAAGUUUUAAUUUGAGUAAUUAUACCAUUAUUUUAGGUGCUGACGUGAAAGAUUGGAAUGGCUCGUCAAUUUAGCCAGAUUUCUAUCCGUGGAUCUGUGAGUGGAAAAAUAUAAAUAUUUUUAAAGCAUUUAUGAAUUAAGUAUAUUAUCAAAGUAUGUGCAAUUAUGUGUUCGACUUAUAUAGUUAUUAUUGAAAUAUCUUUUAUUAUAAUACAUGUGGGAUUUCAAAGAUUUUAUACGGUAUAUUGUGAAUUGGAAUAUGAGAUGUGAUUUUGAGAUCGACCAGAAAAGUACCCGUGAUUAUAUACUUCCUCUAGUUCACUGAGGGGCAUUGGUCGUGUUCUAUACUACACUGAGGGGUCGACUGAGGAUGAAGGGGUCGUGAUCGUGUACAUAUAGUUCAUUAAGGGGCAUUAGCCGUGUUCUAAAAUUAAUUACCAGAGGUCAUGAGACCCGCUUUCGUUCACGGAUGGGGUCAUAGGGCCAUGGCGAAAGUGCUUAACCCGAGGGAUAAAUUACAGAUUUUAGUCAGAGGGUACAUUUUUUGUGGAUCACAUGUGAUGUGAUGUGAUGUGACGUGAUGAUGGUAUAAAUAUCAGUUGAUAACUACAUCAUGAUUAUGAGAUGAUCUUUACAGUGUUAUGACAAUGUCUUACUUUUUGUCUAUAAUUGUACGAGGCUAUCAUGUGAAUUACUAAACGAUAUGAACUUAAUGUCUACGUAUGGAAAAAAUGUUUAAAGGAGAAAGUAUGAUUAUUUUUGAACUCUUCCACUCAUUGAGCUAUCAACUCAUAUUUUGCUAAAAUUAUUUUUACAUGUAGUAUUGGUCCUUGAUAGCUUGAGGACAUGGUGAUUUCAAAGUUAGAGCCACACGACAUGUUGAAGAAUAUGAGUCAAUUUGAUUAAACCACGAAGUAAAGUUUUGGGCCCAUUUAUAAACAUUUGAUUUUAUUGCAUAUCUUGUAGUAACUCAUAGUGAGCCUUCGUGAUGGAGUUGACAUCUAGUCAACAUCUAUUAUCGACGCACACCAUGUUUUGGGUCCACUAGGGUGAUUCGGGAUGGGUCGUGUCAAUAUUCAUAUUACUUAUACUCAUAGCAUGCAUGAUUUUUAUUUAUUGGACGUUGACUUAUGUAGUUAUUGCAUGGUAGGUAAGAAUGUAACUUCAUGGAAAGUAUGGCUAGCUGUGAAGCUCUUGCUGGAUUUCGAAGUUUGAUGUACAUGGAUGACGACUUCUAGGGUUAUCUUGUGGGCUAUUGUUUUAGUCUUAUAAUCUAUUGUAUUAUAUUUGGAGAAUUUUGUACUAUAUAUAUGACUUUUGAAAUGGCAUGAUAGAUACUUUUGGAACCCUCAAAAUAAAUAUGUUGAAAUUUAGUUAUACAGUAUUUGGUCAUAACAUACCAUAUGUGCAUCAUAGGUAACUAGGCGAGAGACCUUAUUGUGAAG